CCUACGGGUGGCUGCAGUCGAGAAUCAUUCACAAUGGGGGAAACCCUGAUGGUGCGACGCCGCGUGGGGGAAUGAAGGUCUUCGGAUUGUAAACCCCUGUCGUGUGGGAGCAAAUUAAAAAGAUAGUACCACAAGAGGAAGAGACGGCUAACUCUGUGCCAGCAGCCGCGGUAAUACAGAGGUCUCAAGCGUUGUUCGGAAUCACUGGGCGUAAGGCGUGCGUAGGCUGUUUCGUAAGUCGUGUGUGAAAGGCGCGGGCUCAACCCGCGGACGGCACAUGAUACUGCGAGACUAGAGUAAUGGAGGGGGAACCGGAAUUCUCGGUGUAGCAGUGAAAUGCGUAGAUAGCGAGAGGAACACUCGUGGCGAAGGCGGGUUCCUGGACAUUAACUGACGCUGAGGCACGAAGGCCAGGGGAGCGAAAGGGAUUAGAUACCCCAGUAGUC
rnacentral:rRNA from 1 species